rnacentral:rRNA from 1 species
AGCAAUACGUUUGUAAAGCGGCGAACGGGUGAGGAAUACAUGGGUAACCUACCCUUGAGUGGGGAAUAACUAGCCGAAAGGUUAGCUAAUACCGCGUACGCUCCUUGGACUUCGGUUCAGGGAGGAAAGCGCUACCGUGGGUAGCGCGCUCUUGGAUGGGCUCAUGUCCUAUCAGCUUGUUGGUGAGGUAACGGCUCACCAAGGCUUCGACGGGUAGCUGGUCUGAGAGGACGAUCAGCCAAACUGGCACUGCGACACGGGCCAGACUCCUACGGGAGGCAGCAGUAAGGAAUAUUGCGCAAUGGGCGAAAGCCUGACGCAGCGACGCCGCGUGGGGGAUGAAGGUCUUCGGAUUGUAAACCCCUUUCGGGAGGGAAGAUGGAAUGGGGUAACCCAUUCGGACGGUACCUCCAGAAGCAGCCACGGCUAACUUCGUGCCA